AGAAUAAAACACAACGUUUCGGUUUAAAAAGAGUUAUCUGCUAGCUAUCCCACGAUUCCGAAGGCUUUAUUUCUACCCACUCUUGAAUUAUUUUUUUAUGUUUCUCUCUCUCUAAACAGCGAUCGCCGAGUUUUACCCUUGUGUCCGUGUUUUCUUUCCGUCUUAAUCGGUAAGCUCUCGCCACUCUCAGUUCUCUUUACUUUCUUAAUUUGGUCUUGAGAUUGAGAAAUUCCAUGCAUCGCUCAAUUUUUCACCAAUCUUUCUAGGGUUUAUCCUCUUCGUCUUUUGCUUUAAUUUCCACAAUAAUCCAAUUAUUUCCUCCUAAAAUUGUCGAGCUACACAGUGCGAAAUUCAAAGAUCUGAUACUUUCUUUUGUUUGGUUAUUUUAACUGCUUUUAUUGGUUAAUUUCGUAUUUAUUACCCUAGAAUUUGGGCUUUAAUUUUUCUCAAAAAUUGGAAAAAAAUUGGGCUUUAACUUGGUUGUUUUCGAGGGUUCAGGGUUUUUAAGUAAACAAUUUAGCGGGAAUUUCUUGAAUUGGGAAUUAGGCUUUCGGAUUUUUUAAAUUUACACAUGGCUGCUGGGAGGCAUGGGGGUUAUAGUGAUUAUGAGUUUAGAGACAGAGAGUCUGAUUUUGAGGUGACAAGGCGGGAAUUUGCUUCUUCUAAAGAUUAUGAGCCAUCUAGGAAUGGUAGCCAUGAUACUGAAAGGAGUCGAGUACCGGAAGCUAGGGAUAGAGUUAGGGUUAGACAAAAGGAUAUUAAGGAGAGGGAAGUGGUAAAUGGUGGGUAUCGUUCCUCUUCAAGUAGAAGUGAUUCUGGUGGCAGUAGUGGUGGCGGAGGUAAUCAUGGGCCUAUUCGAUGUGAGUUCUCUCAUAGGGUGGUAGAUAAGGAGCCUGGUGAGUUGUCUAGUGAGAGUGGGUCAGAAGAUGCCAUUGAGUCUGAGUCAAUGGUUAAAGAUAGUGAGGUUGCGAAGGUAAUGGAGAAUGGGAUUCGUUCUUCUGUGGGAAGGAAGAGGAAGUUUUCACCUAUAGUUUGGGAUAGAGGCGACAAGGAGUUAAGUAAUUAUUCCAAAAGUAGGAAUUCACCAGCGGUCACUGUCCCUCCAGCUCCACCAACACUGCCCGAUGCUCACUUCAAGUCACCUAACAUCAUUCCUGGUGGGGCUGUACAGAUAUCUCCUGUUAGGGAAAGUAAAAGCCAGAAAUCACAGUCUCCUUCACCAAUUGCAGCUGCUGAAGCUGUUGGAUUCUCUACACUACAGUCUUCAGAGGAUUUGGAUUUGUCACCACCAAAAGAUCAGGUUAAUGAUCAGGAUGCUAGGCAGCUAGAAGAUGAAGAUUAUGCACCAUUUCGACAUAUAUCUUCCUCAAGAUGGGCAGCAGGUGAUAGUUCUCCUGGUGAUGAGGGUGAAAUUUUAGAAGAUGAGGAAAUGCCUAAAAGGAGGAAAAAGUUGCCUCUUUCAGAAUCAUCCCAUAACCGAUUACGGAAUAAGUCAGCAACUCCAGAGCUUGGGGAGCUUAAGAGGGAGGGGUCUGAGGGAAUUAGAGCCAGAUCAUUUGAAUCUGAUGAACGAGGUGACCGUUCCAAGUCUGGAAGUGAGGAUGAUUACCAUGAUAAUGAUUCAGAGAAGGAUGAUUACAUGGAGAUUGACAUUGAACGUGAUAGAAAUGACAGUAGUGUUAGCCAGUCUGAUACAGAUUCUGAGAAUGAGAAUGAUUCACGUGGGACACCAGAACCUCCAGCUUAUCCUUUAAGAAGUGUAAACAUGCUUCAGGGAUGUAGAAGCGUUGACGAAUUCGAGAGACUAAAUAAGAUAGAUGAAGGUACUUACGGUGUUGUAUUUAGAGCUAGGGACAAGAAGACCGGGGAAAUUGUGGCGUUGAAGAAGGUAAAGAUGGAGAAAGAAAGGGAAGGAUUUCCUCUGACCUCUCUGAGGGAAAUAAACAUUCUUCUUUCAUUUCAUCACCCAUCGAUUGUAGAUGUUAAAGAAGUAGUUGUAGGGGGUAACCUUGAUAGUAUUUUUAUGGUGAUGGAAUACAUGGAACAUGAUUUGAAGGGGCUGAUGGAGACAAUGAAACAACCAUUCAGCCAAAGUGAGGUUAAAUGCCUGAUGCUUCAACUGCUGGAGGGUGUCAAGUAUCUUCAUGAUAACUGGGUUCUCCAUCGAGAUUUGAAGACAUCUAAUCUGCUUUUAAAUAACCAAGGUGAACUGAAGAUUUGUGAUUUUGGGUUGGCUCGUCAAUAUGGAAGCCCAUUAAAACCAUAUACUCAUUUGGUUGUUACUCUUUGGUACAGGGCACCUGAACUUCUUUUGGGAGCAAGACAAUAUUCCACUGCAAUUGACAUGUGGUCUCUGGGUUGUAUUAUGGCUGAACUACUGUCGAAAGAACCACUUUUCAAUGGGAAAACUGAAUUUGAUCAACUUGACAAGAUUUUCAAAACCCUCGGCACUCCAAAUGAGACAAUAUGGCCCAGUUUUUCCACGUUGCCUGGAGUCAAGGUCAAUUUUGUCAAGCAUCAGUAUAAUCUGUUGCGCAAGAAAUUUGCAGUGACAUCAUUCACUGGAACACCUGUUCUCUCUGAUGCGGGAUUUGACUUGUUGAAUAAACUACUUACUUAUGAUCCGGAGAAGCGUAUAACAGCUGAAGCUGCUUUUAACCAUGAGUGGUUUCGUGAAGUUCCUCUUCCCAAGACUAAAGCUUUCAUGCCCACUUUCCCUGCCCAACAUGCUCAAGACAGGCGCAUGAGAAAAAUGUUGAAGAGUCCAGAUCCUUUGGAAGAGCAACGUAGAAAGGAGUUGCAGCAAGGGCAAUUGGGGACUGGUGGUUUGUUUGGCUGAGAGAAAGUUCAUCCAUCAGUGCCAUUUGAUCUUCAUGUUUUAGAUUUUCACAUUAUUGGUAGAUGGCCAUGAUUGAGGUGAGAGACAUGUAUUCAACGGAAGUUGCAAACUUUGUUUGUCAGACGAUCAUUCUUGCUUUUUUUAACAGGCAUUGAUGAUGAUUUGGCUAGAGAUAUUGUUUGCCUCUUCCUGUGAACCAGAUGUUUUGCUGGUUAUUUUGUUUUCCAGCUUUGGUCAUCAUAUAAAAAUGCAUCUGACAGCUUGCAUCGCAAGAGAUGGUUGGUGUGAAGUGGAGGGGACGUUCUUUGCUUUUCAUUGAUGAAGAAAUUGACAGUAACCAUUGUACAUCAAAGUCUCAAAGCAAGCAGGUUGAGGAGGUCACCUGCAUAUUGUGGAUUUUAUCUAACUUCCAAUUAGUUGUUCCUUCAGGCUCUGUAGAGGUACCAUACAAACUUUAGUCUGUUACAGUAUCUUAAGAUUAACUUUUUCACUUUAAUAAUAUUUCUCUUCAGUUAACUUGUUCACUUCAAUAUUUCUAUCUUUUCUGUUAACUUGUUCACUUCAAUAUCUCUAUCUUUUCUGUUAUACUAGCAUUUUUCAUUGUUUUAUGUAAUGGUAUCGUUAAGAUGCAUUUGAUUCUAUGUAAUUGUAAUGAAAGGCAUUAUAUAAGUGAAUGAAGAAAGAAUGAACUUUCUUAGCUUUCCUUAGAAGUUUGUCUUAACCUUAUGGAACAGUCAGGUUAAAGUUGUUUCUUAGAUAUGUUCUCCUCUAACCUCCCAUUCUCUAUGUUCCUAAUAGUUGGAAUGUUAGAUGUGACUGUAUUGAUUGCUAGAUUUUCAUUUAGUAUUAUCGUUGCUGUGGCUACCUUGGCUGUACUAGAAGUGUUUUCUUUUGAAUGCCUUAAUACUUAGAAUACUUUAAUUUCAAAUUGAUCUAUGUGAUAGUUUCUAGUAUGGAAUUUGAAUGUCUAAUUAGUGCGAGAUUCUAGUAUGGAAUUUGAAUGUCUAAUUAGUGCAUAAAUAGGAGAUUCUCUUGUGAACCCAAGUUUUCUAGAUAUAUAUAUUCAUAGAGUUUAUACAUUCUACUAAAAUACUUUGUUGUAAUUCAUGAAUGAGCAACAGUGAUUAGUGCUGGGGGUGAUUGAUGUAGAAGAAUUUGUGGGGGCAAAUGGUAUUGUGAUUGUUCUAAAUUAGUUGGUGUACAAAAUUUUAGGAGGAUGCUGAAGGAUAAGAGGGAGAGUAUUUCCAAUUAGCUUAGGGCAAUUGAGAGUAUUUCACUAGUCUCUCCCGAGAACUAACAUCUGCCCUUGUUACCAUUUUUUACUUCCACUAGCUGGUUUAUUAAACAGAGUGCUCUUACUUGUACAAACCUAACAAUUUAUGAAUGCAUAAUUUAUGUUUAUUGGCAUAUUUCAGGAUCAUGUAUAAUGGAGACAAUAGCCUUUAAUAACUAUUUUAUCUGUUUCAUAUGACGGUACUGGUCACUGGCAACGCGUGGUUGCCGCUUUAAGUAACGUUCUUGGAUGAAAAAAAUUCUACCAACCAAUAAUUGUAAUUUACUUUUGGGGUUAUGAAAUUCUUUUAAACAUGGUUAAUAUAUUCCUGUGCUUCUGAUGCUGCAUGGUGUAAUAAAUACAUGUACAUUAGUAAUUUGCAUAUACCAAGUCUCUUGCUAACAGGAUUUUACUAUAUUUUUGGGCAUCCAUUUACUACAUGUUCGCUUCAACCUUAGGACAAGUUUGCAUUUAGGUAAUUUAGGCUCUAUUGUUUCAUGUUAUGAACUCCUUUCACAUGUAAUUGAUGCCGUGUCAUUCCAUGAAAGUAUGUUUUGGUAAAUUGUGUUGUCCUCUUGAGACAAGGAUGCUGCAGCAUAUGUUCUAUCCUGUUUUGAGAUAUUGAAUGUUAACUUGAGUUUGUCACUAUUUUUGUUUAUUGUAUUCCUCCGCUAGUUGCAUUUCUGUCUGCAGUUUUAUUAAGAACUUCAGAGUGCACAUCAAUUCUUGUUCGUCUAAACAAAUCAGAAAAACUUGGUAGAAGCUCUACUUAUUCUCCUCCCCCAACAGAACGAUUGUGGAAAUGAAAACUUGUGAAAACGCUCCCAUGUUCGAGAUCGAGGCUUUACACCAUCGAAUGCCAAAAUAAAAUAAAAAAAUAAUAAAAAAGGAGUUUUUGGCUAAAACCAAUGCUGCCUUAUCAUCAACAUUAAAGACCCCAACUGAUAGAAAUCUGUUCUUAGAAUUAUAUUUCGUGACAUUGGUUGUAAAAUUCUCCAUCACAAAGGUUUACAUAUUUCGACCGAUGGCUUUGACCCACAUAAUAAUAAUAUAUAAACUACUCGUAUCUAAUCCGGUGAAAUCAAAAUCUUAACAGUAUAAUGAAUUAAUGAAAUUGAAGGUCAAGGAAUGUGUCUUACUCAAAAAAAAAAAAAAAAACAUUGUUAUCACUUCUUUGUGAGAUUUAAUCGCAAAUUUUAAUAAGAUAUAACGUCCGCGAAACAUUUGUUUAUAAUUAAAAAUCGCUUAUGAAAAACUUUAUGUAUUGCCUAAUUUAUUUGUUCUAGUUGAGAUUUCUAACAAAAAAAUUUUAAUUGCAUCUUUGUUUAAUUCUUUAUCUUUAGGGUUUAUAUUAUUAUGUGAAGAAAAGAAGUGGAGAGAA